GAGGCAGUUAUUAGAACAUGGAGAGAGAGCUUGGGAGGGGCCUUCCUGACAGGAGCCAGGAUCUUUGGUCAAAAGAAACUAUCCCAAGCAUGUAUGAAUGCUACUUGUUACAUUAUGAGAACACUAUUCCUGGAUUGGGAAGUUAAGACUGUGAGUUUUGUCCCGACUUUGAAAGAGUUGGAAGUAUCCCUAUGAAUAGAAGACCUGAGGCUUUGAAAGUGGUUCUGUCCUUCCCAGUGAAUUACUGGCAGCAACAUAAGAACCGUACUUAAAGAUCCCUUUCAGCAAUUGUCAUUUGCAUGUUCCUGGGCUCAUGCAACCCACCAGAGUUUUAUUUUUAAAAAUGGUUCCUAAUUAGAAGUUAAAAAUGUAAUCAGCAUUUCAUUCAAAAAGUUGGUUUAUUUUUAUUUUAUUUUUCUAUUUUACUGAUGAGCUAUAAUAUAAGAGAGCCAGAGAAAGAUCACUUGAAUAUAAAUGUAAUGAUAACCACAAUCAUGUAUUGUUUAGACCACAGAACUCAGAGACAGAAUGCAUAGGUUCAACUCUGUCAUUCACCAGUGGCCAGUAAUGUAAUUUUAGAUAAAUUAUUUAAGUCCUUGUAUCAAUAUUCAUAUAUGUAAAAUGAAAAUAAUACUACAAGUGGACAUAAUACAUGUUAACAACAGUGCAAAUGUUUUGUUAGUAAAAUCUUGUAGCUUUGAGCCUCAAUGUUUUCAUCAAUAAAAAAGGAAUUGAAACAAAUCA